AUACUUACCUGGACGGGGUCAAUGGGCGAUCAAGAAGGUCCAUGGUCUAGAGAGUUGGCCUCCAUCGCACUUAGGAGGUGCACCUGUCUAAGGUCUCCCCAAGUGGGAGAGCCUACGUCAUAAUUUGUGACAGUGGGGGCUUGCGUCCGCGCAGCCCCUAU
rfam:Ricinus communis cultivar Hale ctg_1100012310085, whole genome shotgun sequence.